rnacentral:tRNA from 1 species
GCUUCCAGAAUCGCUAUCAGCGAACCCGGGAAUACACACUAAUCCCGAGGUUGCAGGUUCGAGUCCUGUCGGGGGCGCA